CAGUGGCGAACGGGUGAGUAACACGUGGGCAAUCUGCCCUGCACUCUGGGACAACACCGGGAAACCGGUGCUAAUACCGGAUACGACGUACCUCGGCAUCGGGUGUGCGUGGAAAGCUCCGGCGGUGCAGGAUGAGCCCGCGGCCUAUCAGCUUGUUGGUGGGGUGAUGGCCUACCAAGGCGACGACGGGUAGCCGGCCUGAGAGGGCGACCGGCCACACUGGGACUGAGACACGGCCCAGACUCCUACGGGAGGCAGCAGUGGGGAAUAUUGCACAAUGGGCGAAAGCCUGAUGCAGCGACGCCGCGUGAGGGAUGAAGGCCUUCGGGUUGUAAACCUCUUUCAGCAGGGAAGAAGCGCAAGUGACGGUACCUGCAGAAGAAGCACCGGCUAACUACGUGCCAGCAGCCGCGGUAAUACGUAGGGUGCGAGCGUUGUCCGGAAUUAUUGGGCGUAAAGAGCUCGUAGGCGGCCUGUCGCGUCGGAUGUGAAAGCCCGGGGCUUAACCCCGGGUCUGCAUUCGAUACGGGCAGGCUAGAGUUCGGUAGGGGAGAUCGGAAUUCCU
rnacentral:rRNA from 1 species